UACAGAGGGUGCAAGCGUUGUUCGGAAUUAUUGGGCGUAAAGCGCGUGUAGGCGGCUUUGCAAGUCGGGUGUGAAAGCCCUCAGCUCAACUGAGGAAGUGCGCCCGAAACUGCAGAGCUUGAGUACCGGAGAGGGUGGCGGAAUUCCCCAAGUAGAGGUGAAAUUCGUAGAUAUCAGGAGGAACACCAGUGGCGAAGGCGGCUUUCUGGACGAUAACUGACGCUGAGACGCGAAGGCGUGGGGAGCAAACAGG
rnacentral:rRNA from 1 species